AAACUCGUUCUUUUAGGGCUAUAUACAAGUACUCGGACUACACUACCUGCGCUGUGAUCUCAUUCCCAUAUGGAGAGAAAGAUCAUUGCACAAUGUGGGUGAAAAGGUCUCGAGUGCACAACGUUCCCCAGCACUGCUUGGACAAAUACGAGGAGAUCUGCGACCUCGGAAUACAUCUAGUCGACAGAGACAUCUGCAGAGACGAUGACGACUAAUGAGGCGCCACCGAGCGCCUUCUGACCUACAGCACAUCCUGCAGACGCUAUUAAACGUUCUACCACACGGAGCAUGAUAUACGCGCCUACUAAAGCAUACUAUCCUCCAAAUCCGUACGCAAGCGACGGAGGAACGGGCCACCAACCUCACGAUACGCGCAGGUGUGCACGUUUCAAUGCAAGUAGCACGGUGUUUCCGCAGCCCAAUCAUCGGAUGCGUUCGUGUUUGUGCGGGCGUAUGGUCUCUUCUAAGGUUUAGUAUGGAUGUUAUUUGUUUUGAGUUACUGAUAUUAAAAAUGCAGCAGGAAUAUGAAAAUGA